rnacentral:rRNA from 1 species
GAUGAACGCUGGCGGCGUGCCUAAUACAUGCAAGUCGAGCGAACAGACGAGGAGCUUGCUCCUCUGACGUUAGCGGCGGACGGGUGAGUAACACGUGGAUAACCUACCUAUAAGACUGGGAUAACUUCGGGAAACCGGAGCUAAUACCGGAUAAUAUAUUGAACCGCAUGGUUCAAUAGUGAAUGACGGUUUUGCUGUCACUUAUAGAUGGAUCCGCGCCGCAUUAGCUAGUUGGUAAGGUAACGGCUUACCAAGGCGACGAUGCGUAGCCGACCUGAGAGGGUGAUCGGCCACACUGGAACUGAGACACGGUCCAGACUCCUACGGGAGGCAGCAGUAGGGAAUCUUCCGCAAUGGACGAAAGCCUGACGGAGCAACGCCGCGUGAGUGAUGAAGGUCUUCGGAUCGUAAAACUCUGUUAUUAGGGAAGAACAAAUGUGUAAGUAACUAUGCACGUCUUGACGGUACCUAAUCAGAAAGCCACGGCUAACUACGUG